rnacentral:rRNA from 1 species
GAUGAACGCUAGCGGCAGGCCUAAUACAUGCAAGUCGAGGGGCAGCGCGGUAGCAAUACUGGCGGCGACCGGCGCACGGGUGCGUAACACGUAUGCAACCUACCUUCAACUGGAGGAUAGCCCGGGGAAACUCGGAUUAAUACUCCAUAACACAGGGAUCCCGCAUGGGAAUAUUGUUAAAGCUACGGCGGUUGAAGAUGGGCAUGCGUUCGAUUAGCUAGUUGGUGUAGGUAACGGCUCACCAAGGCUACGAUCGAUAGGGGGUCUGAGAGGAUGAUCCCCCACACUGGUACUGAGAUACGGACCAGACUCCUACGGGAGGCAGCAGUAGGGAAUAUUGGUCAAUGGGCGCAAGCCUGAACCAGCCAUGCCGCGUGCAGGAAGAAGGCCUUCUGGGUUGUAAACUGUCUUUUGGCCGGGGAUAAAGAUCCAUGCGUGG